rnacentral:ncRNA from 1 species
UGAAAUUCCAGGAAGAGAAAAAGUAGAUAAGAUCAGGCAGCACAGAGAAUUAACGGCUGGUGGGAGUUAAUGUGCAGGGUUUUAUGGAAAAUCAUCUCGGAGAAGUAAAGCUGAACCUGUAUAAAGUAAGCUUUGCCGGCCGUCCCCGUUACAGGACAGGCGUAUGAACACGUACGCAGUGAGAGCUAUCGUUUAGUUUUAGAACCAGGGUGGUAUCGCGGAGUUAAGCUUCGUCCCUCAG